rnacentral:snoRNA from 1 species
AGGUCAUUUCAAAGAGGAGUUGUGGGACCAAAACCAGGAACACUUCAUACUGUGACCAAAUAUCACAGUUCUCCAUGGGAUGUAAUACAGCUCUAUUUCCCUGAGGAAACAGAAGA